rnacentral:ncRNA from 1 species
AGCCAAUGAAGUGGGAAAGGUUCCCGGCGCGCUUGCUUAUAGCAAGUUACCAGAAAUCAGGAUACGCCGCCCUGCAUUGACU